rnacentral:sRNA from 1 species
GAGGUUUGAAAAAAAUGACCUAAGACAGUAGGGGAGCCGGACUCAUAAUCAUCCUACCGAGGCACAAAACGUAAUUUUAUAUAACGUAUUUGUACUUUCGUGUCUAGGUUUAGGUGCGAUUUUUUUGUGCCUAU